rnacentral:rRNA from 1 species
GGGCGCAAGCCUGAUGCAGCCAUGCCGCGUGUAUGAAGAAGGCCGUUCGGGUUGUAAAGUACUUUCAGCAGUGAGGAAGGUGGGUAUGUUAAUAGCAUAUUCAUUUGACGUUAGCUGCAGAAGAAGCACCGGCUAACUCCGUGCCAGCAGCCGCGGUAAUACGGAGGGUGCGAGCGUUAAUCGGAAUUACUGGGCGUAAAGCGCAUGCAGGUGGUUUGUUAAGUCAGAUGUGAAAGCCCGGGGCUCAACCUCGGAAUUGCAUUUGAAACUGGCAAACUAGAGUACUGUAGAGGGGGUAGAAUUUCAGGUGUAGCGGUGAAAUGCGUAGAGAUCUGAAGGAAUACCGGUGGCGAAGGCGGCCCCCUGGACAGAUACUGACACUCAGAUGCGAAAGCGUGGGGAGCAAACAGGAUUAGAUACCCUGGUAG